AUCAAGACCGGCUCUGGUCGUGUAAACGCUGACAUUGUCACGUUGAAUCUGAAGUCUUUCGGAUGCUGCUCACAGGCAGCCCGUUUCCCUCCUGACCACCCAGCCAAGGUCUGGCCUGCAGCCACCGCAUCUGGGAAGCCCGUUCGAACAUGCACCAUCCUGCAACAUUUUUUUUUCUCCUUGGCACCAUAUCUGGCAUCACACAGAAAGUCAUUAACCCUCGCUGAGCGUCAGUUCCCUUCUAUGCAAAACGCAGGAAUGAAGCGAGAGGAACACCUGACAGGACCCCGGACCUUUUGAUGACUCCUGCUGUCCAACAGAAUGGGGCUCUAAUGGGAUGAAACACAUACCUUCUACAUUUCAGAUGGAGACAGUUUCCCUCCGUGAGCUCAGUGAGUGUCUAGCAAACCACUUCACAACCCUACCAACCAGUCCUCGUGGUAAGAAGACAGUGAAUCCUUGAACUCAAAAGCUUGCAAGAAAUUGACACAGAGUGGAGAGGAGCCGGAGGAGCCACUUCCAUGUAUCAUGAUGCCGGAGGCCCCAAUGCAGGACUAUAAACAUCUCUCAAGUCUAUGCACCUCUUGCCUCCAAACCUCCCAAAGAAGGACCAAAACCACGAGGAGACAACAGUUGAAUGCCCAGCGGCCUCUACCUGCUACCAAGAUCCAUCCAAAGCAGCUGGAAUGAUCCUUCUAACAAUCACAUCAGGCCGUUUCACCCUGACUUAAAGCCCAUUGAAAGUGAUGAGAAACAGCUUGCCAUCGCCUGGAAGCAUACAAGCUCAGAAAUGGAAUGUGGCUGUCGCUCAGGCCAGUGGCUUCCAGACAUUCUCCAGACACUUGACAGUGGCAGAAUUCUGCGCCAGGAGCUCCAGCCAGCCCUCCCAUCCCUGGCCCCCAGCCCCAUUCCUACCCACAUUCUCACCUCUACACCCACCUGAACCCUGUUCCUGUCCACUCUUAUCCCCACUACGUUCUUAUCCCCAUCCCCACAUCCACUCCAUCCCCAUCCUCACCCCAACACCCACCCCCACCUCCAGCCCCCACUCCUUGCACGGGAGGGUUGCAUUUGCCUGCUUCCAAAUGGACCCAACUUAAAGACAAAUGGCCCAGCAUGUUUGAGUGACUUUGCUCCUAGGCCCACAGACCUUAGGGAUGAUCUAGCGGUAACGUUUUUCACGCUCCUGCUCUUCCUACUGCCCCCUCAGAUAUGCUGUCAAUUCCAAAUGGAGCCAUCAGCGCCUGCGCCUUGACUUGUGCACGCCUGCACCAGUUCCGCUGAGCUCCUUGCUCCUCAUCGUUUUCCAUAACGUGUGAAGCAGUCUAGGAGGUGGGCAUGGAUAACAGCCAGAGGCUGCUAAUUCUGAGGCUGCAUGCUUGGUCCAGGCCUCCUGAGGGGUGAGAGGAAACUCACCUAUAAGACAUUCCUGGGCUAGAACCCCCUAGGCUCCACACUUCUCCAGAGGAAGAUUUGACCCCUCCCAGUACCAUGUGCUUCGGUUUGGGGGAAUGGAGCAACAGGAGACAAGAGAUCCACUUAAGAAGCCAUUGCAAGGUCUGGGAGAGAGAAGAUGAGAGUUGGGAAAGAAAGAUUGAAGUGAAAGACAUGGGUGGACUUGGCUGUUCCAUGUGCGAGGAGGGUAAUGAAUACAGUGCAUAAUAACUACCCACUAAUUCACACAAUUAGCUGAGGAUGCCAAACACAGGUCAGUGUCUCUGCCAGCAUACAGAAGUGUUCCAAAAUACUGAUGUAUUCCAGAUGUUGGGACUGUUACAACUUCUUUUGUCUCUGUAUUAAUGAGCUGUCAUAUUAUCCACUCAAUCUUAAAGAAAUAAAUCCUCUAAAUAUG